rnacentral:misc_RNA from 1 species
GAUGAAGAACGCAGCGAAAUGCGAUACGUAAUGUGAAUUGUAGAAUUCAGUGAAUCAUCGAAUCUUUGAACGCAUAUUGCGCUCUCUGGUAUUCCGGAGAGCAUGCUUGUUUGAGUAUCAGUAAACACCUCAACUUCCAUAUCUUUUUUGAAAUGGGAGUUGGACUUGAGUGAUCCCAACGCUUUUCCUCACCGAAAAGUGGCGGGUUACUUGAAAUGCAGGUGCAGCUGGACUUUUCUCUGAGCUAUAAGCAUAUCUAUUUAGUCUGCCUAAAAAACAGAUUAUUACCUUUGCUGCAGCUAACAUAAAGGAGAUUAGUUCUUGUGCUGACUGAUGCAGGAUUCACAAAAACGGCUUCGGCCGACUUUGUAAACUCGAUCUCAAAUCAAGUAAGACUACCCGCUGAACUUAAGCAUAUCAAUAAGCGGAGGA